AACGAACGCUGGCGGCAUGCCUAACACAUGCAAGUCGAACGAGACCUUCGGGUCUAGUGGCGCACGGGUGCGUAACGCGUGGGAACCUGCCCUUAGGUUCGGAAUAACUCCCCGAAAGGGGUGCUAAUACCGGAUAAUGUCUUCGGACCAAAGAUUUAUCGCCUUUGGAUGGGCCCGCGUUGGAUUAGCUAGUUGGUAGGGUAAAAGCCUACCAAGGCGACGAUCCAUAGCUGGUCUGAGAGUAUGAUCAGCCACACUGGGACCGAGACACGGCCCAGACUCCUACGGGAGGCAGCAGUGGGGAAUAUUGGACAAUGGGCGAAAGCCUGAUCCAGCAAUGCCGCGUGAGUGAUGAAGGCCUUAGGGUUGUAAAGCUCUUUUACCCGGGAUGAUAAUGACAGUACCGGGAGAAUAAGCUCCGGCUAACUCCGUG
rnacentral:rRNA from 1 species